rfam:Clostridium cylindrosporum DSM 605 CLCY_1c, whole genome shotgun sequence.
AGUGCUUUUAAUUCAGUCCAGAGAGGCUGACAAAGUAAUAAAAUCUAUACUCUAGGGGUGGUGGGUCUAUCUCUAGAUAUAAGGUGGAGUGUAACCUCUUUGUCAGUUGGCAAAGAGGUUUUUUUGC